GCGCGUUCGCGCAACUGGCGAGAAAAGAUGGGGAACCAUCGGGGAACGCGAACGUCACGAGAGCCGCUCGCCUGGGCAACCCAU
rnacentral:ncRNA from 1 species